GACGAACGCUGGCGGCGUGCCUAAUACAUGCAAGUAGGACGCAGUUGCGAACGGGUGAGUAACGCGUAGGUAACUGCCUAUUAGAGGGGGGUAACUAUUGGAAACGAUAGCUAAUACCGCAUACUAGUAGAUGGACCUACGUUGUAUUAGGUAGUAGGUAGGGUAAUGGCCUACCUAGGCGACGAUACAUAGACGAACCGAGAGGGUGAUUGGCCCAACUGGGACUGAGAAAAGGCCCCGAACCCUACGGGAGGCAACAGUAGGGAAUCCUCGGGAAUGGGGGGAAACCCGAACGGGCAAAGCCGCGGGAGGGAAGAAGGGUUUCCGAUCCUAAAGCUCCGUUUUUAAGGAAGCGGUACUUAACCAGAAAGGCACGGCUAACUACGUGCCAGCAGCCGCGGUAAUAC
rnacentral:rRNA from 1 species